CCGAAUUGGGCUGCCUUGUCUAAACGCAGCCAGUGUUACUUGGCAGAAACAUUGUAGCAUUUCUCAUUUAUAAUUCAAAGGAUGUAGGCUACAGCAGAAUUGUUGGUUAUUUUCCAAAUCUCGGCACUAAACGAUCAAGAGGAAAGAGUUAUUGUCCACUUAAUCACGAUGGUAAAGAGCAAAAGACAGGGAAGAACCAGAGGAGAUGAAUCAAUGAGUUUGAUUAGUCGAGUCAGCAUCUCCAGAGGACUCCAGCCGCAGAGAAGCAGAAACAGGCCAAAGCAACGACAAUCCAAUUGCCCCUCUAAACAGGUUGAGGCACUGAGCAGCGCGGGAGGACCAGAGGAAGGAUGAGACAGUAAAUGUUUUGAUUGGACUCUGUGCCCAGGGGAUGGAUGGGGCACAACCUGGCCCUCCACAGAUGGUGCCCACUGUUAGCCCUCAUCGCCCAUCUGCCCUGGGCAGCCUUGCCUUGCCAUGCUCUGCUAGUGGGCACAAGCUCUGCUCUGCCUCUCCCUCUUCACCAGCCUCAGCACACCCAUACACUAGCAGACCCCUCGGUCAGGCAGGAGCGGGAGGCCACACGGGAACACAGGGCUCAUCUCUCCUCCUCUCCCCGCUACUCUCCUCCCUCUCUCUACUUGGAUCAGAGCUUCAUUUGCUUCCAGUGACCCUCUUAAUUUGUGUGUUGGCUGUCAAACACUGAUAGCAGACAGACGCCUCAGGUCCCUAUCAGCCAGCCAGAAGAUUAGGCCCACGUUGCAUGGGGAUAAUGAUUUAUACAUGCAGUGGGGACAGUUUAAUAUGAGGACAACACAUUCACAGUUGCAGAAUGGCUUCCUGUCUGUCCACAUUGAGACUGCAAUGUGUGGCAAUAGAAGUAUUUGAAUUUGGUUUUGUCAUCAGUCAUAGAGCAAUAUGAGUCCGUAACAGUAGGUACAUAUACUGCAAACAGUGUCCGUAUCAUCAAAGACACAGAUAUAGAUCGCUGCAAUGUAAACUCUAAAAUGUAAUAUAAGGGCAAAGCUGACUCCAUUACAAUUAUAAAUACUCAGAAACUCACCCUGGCCGAGUGUGAACCAAGGCCUUAGCAUUCUGCCAUAUUUCUGGAGGAUAUCAUGCAUCUUGUUGGCUAAACCCAGACUCUGUUCUGUAUUUACUUAGAGAAGUAUCCAGCCAAGCAAGGUCUCUGCAUUUGGGAAGAAAAACUGUUGAAAUGUUAAAGCACUCGUAACUAAAAUAAAGGAAUUCCAUUAAAUAUUGA